rnacentral:rRNA from 1 species
CAAAACCUGGUUGAUCCUGCCAGUAGUCAUACGCUCGUCUCAAAGAUUAAGCCAUGCAUGUCUAAGUAUAAACAACUCUAUACUGUGAAACUGCGAAUGGCUCAUUAUAUCAGUUAUAGUUUAUUUGAUAGUACCUCACUACUUGGAUAACCGUAGUAAUUCUAGAGCUAAUACAUGCGUGAACUCCCAACUGCU